AGUUAACAUACCCCCUCUCUCGGUCUACCCAGUACUGCAACUGAGAGCCGAGCGAAAGUUCAACGAAGAUCGCCAACACGAACUCUGACGAAGAUAUUUGGGAGAUACACAUACAUAUUUGUAAUAAAGAAUUCAUAAUUAUUCUCAUUUCACACCUCAAACUACUCAGUCGUUUUUUUGGAAGCUUUCCUCCCUCGGCCACGGGAUUGUAACUGGCGCAGCCGGUCAACGGACAAGGGAUUAACAAUGCCCACUACGCUUAUCGUUCUAAUUCUAAAGAGGUAUUGAACAUGUGACGGCAGUGGUUGUGGGGAUUUUAUUAGUGAGUGGUGAAAUAGAAAGGAAUUGGAUAAAACAUAAUAACGUGCAAGUGCAAUUAAAACAAAGGAAACAAACGAAAUCAAGUUCAAAUUGCUUCACAGGCGACCGUAUAUGUGUACAUCAAACGCUGAUAAGGCACCGGGAUCGCUUGUGCGGGACAAUUUACAACAAUUAUACCAACGAGUUACUGUGUGUGAUGACCGUAUAUGUGUACAUCAAUCGCUGAUAAGGCACCGGGAUCAUCCAUACACCCUAACUCAUACAAAUGGUAAAUUAAUCAACAACAAAAAAAUAAUAAUAAAAAAAAAAUUAAAAGAGAAAAAAAAUUUUUUCUGACAUGUUAAACUACUGUGUAUGGUUACCAUUUGUGUGUCGGAGAGCGCUUGGUGUGUGCGAGAGUAUUGGUUGCUCUUUGGUUACUUCAUAAGAAUGGUAAUUUCAUCACUAUGGUAAUAUUACAUCAGCCUAUAUUCGCACUGCGAACGGUUGUUGUGUCUCUAUAGUUCUGAGAACAACCGUUUGGCGCGGCGACAGAGCGACGUCGCUGCCGCUGAGUGUUGGCCGUUGUGCACAACAGAAAAGAGAAUGGUAAAGAACGAGAUCAGUCGAAUAUUAGACUACGUUGUGACCAGAACUCGAAUAAAUUUUGGACAUCGAUCGCCUCCGAUAUAACGGGACCUCCUACACAAGUGUUUUUUUAAAAAAAAAAUAAAUAAAAAAAAAAAUAAAUAAUAAUAAAUAAAUAACUAACUUGCUGCGCAGGAGGUGAAUUUGGACAUCAGUCGCCUCCGAGGCAACGGGAUCUAAUUCACAGUGGGUUAUAAAUAAAUAAAUGUAAGUUGUGUGAUUAACGACCGAAUAUGUGCACAUCAAUCGCUGAUAAGGCACCGGGAUCGUUUUCACUUAUCCAUUUACAUGAAAAAAAAAAAUAAUAAUAA